AGAUCCGAAGCGUCAGUUGCGCGGUGGCCGCCGUACCGAGUGCUACGGUGUUCUCGGUGUCGUACCCUGCCGGUCGGUGCCAUACGGUUCAGUCUCCUCUCUCUUGCACCCAGCGAGCCGUGUCGAGCAUUUUCUUCGGGUACCGAGUUCUCUUCCCCGACCGAUGGGAUUUCGGUGAACGGACACGGCGACCUUCGGGACAGUGUCCAAUCCAGCCCGCGGAUAGGGAACUGUGCGUUAGACACUUCGUGGAGAAUUAAACCCAGUCGGAGAACGCUAUCGCGAUAGCAGGAGCGCUUUCGUAGCAGCUCUUGCGGAUUACUCGGAUCAAUUCGGAGGAGCUUAGAGAACAAGGGACGAAGCCUGGCCUUUCCCGAAACUCGAAUUCGUUUGGUACAAGCUCUGAAUAGUCGGUCCCGUGGCCGGGCGCUCCGGAGCCGGGCCGAAACGGAGUCGUGUGAAGUGUGAACCUCGGAGUGUGAGUUGCCGGUAAGAGCAAGAGGAGUCGGGGCUCCUUAACCCCCCCGAGUUGUCGGAAGCCGGGAUUCCAGCAUAUGAUCGGAUCUUAGCGGAGACAGGUGCCGCGGGAAGUUUCGCGUAUCGAUUGUACCGGUGCCACACAUGACAGUCGGUCGGAGUAAAUAUUGGAGGGCGUAUACGUGCGACCACAGCGUGCGUUAGUGAGUCACCGGCGGUGGUGGUUUCCGUGUGAUGGUCAGGAGGUGGGUGGCCCAGGGAAGAAGAAGGCACCACCGAGUACGCUAAAGAUGCGUGGCCUGGUCGGCCCCCCCGCCCUGGCGGGCCGGCACCGUGGCCCGGCGUCGACGCUGACGUUGGCCUGCUACUACUGUCUCCUGAUCCCGGUGUGCCACGUGCUCGCGGUGACCAGCGAGCUGCCGCCCAGGCUCGACCUGCCGGAGCACUGCUCGUGGGAGUCGCGGCAGGACGGCGCGGUCACCUGCGUGCACCAGACCGUGGGUGGCGAGAGCUUGAAGACCAACUUCUCCCAGGCGACCAGCGAGUACGUGACCUCGGUGAACGUCGUCUGCGAGAACACCGACGCCCUGGACGCGGGCGCGCUGAACGUCGACGGAUUCGUGCAGCUCUGGCGGCUGAGAUCGCUGAGGCUGACGGGGUGCAAGCUGGUCCACUGGCCGGCGAAAGUGCUCAGCGGGCUGCGGGACCUCCGGAAUCUGACGGUGCGCAGCCUGAACGGCCGGAAGGGCAAGUACAGCCUGGAAUUGGAGAGCGGCGCGUUCGACGCGGUCCCGCAGAUCGAGAAGAUCGAUCUCUCGUGGAACAACAUCUGGCAGAUCCCGGAGCACUUGUUCUGUCCGCUGUCGAACCUGCUCACGCUGAACGUCUCCUGGAACAUGCUGAACGACAUCUCCGAGCUAGGGUUCAGAGACAUGGCCGAGAAACAUCCACGGCGACCAACGGACUCGACCGCGUCGCCGUUCCCGUGCUCGUUGGACGUGCAAUCGCUGGACGUGUCCAAUAAUCAAAUCUCCGUGCUGCCCGCGUACGGGUUCUCGUCGCUGAAACGGCUGAAGGUGCUGAACAUGUCGAACAACGCGAUCGCGAUGGUGGCGGACAAGGCUCUUCAAGGGCUCCGCUCCCUGGAGACGUUCGAUCUGUCCGGGAACCGUAUCGUCGCGCUGCCGAUGGAGAUGUUCCGGGAAGCGGCGAAAUCGUUGAAGGAGCUACGGCUGCAGAACAAUUCGAUCAGCGCCCUGUCGCCCGGGCUGGUGGCGGACAUGAACCAGCUGGUGGCGCUGGACCUGUCCAGGAACGCGUUGACCAGCUCCUGGCUGAACUCCGCGACGUUCUCCGGGCUUAUUCGUUUGGUCCUUUUGAACCUGUCCCAUAAUCGGAUCAGCAAGCUGGACCCGGCGCUGUUCAAAGACCUGUUCACCCUUCAGAUACUGAACCUCCAGUACAACGAGAUCGAGACGAUACCGGCGGACACGUUCGCGCCGAUGAAUAAUCUGCACACGCUAGAUUUAGCGUACAAUCGAUUAUCUUAUCUGGACGCGUACUCCCUGAACGGCUUGUUCGCGCUCUCCCUUCUCUCGCUGGACUCUAAUCAGCUCGAAGGAAUCCAUCCGGAUGCCUUUCGGAAUUGUUCCAGUAUGCAGGACCUGAAUCUGUCCGGGAACAAUCUGGACAGCAUACCGGUCGCCCUCAAAGACAUGACGUUGCUGCGGACGCUGGACCUCGGCGAGAAUCAGAUCAGGAGCCUGAACCGGCCGGGUUUCCGCGGUAUGUCGAGCCUCUAUGGAUUAAGGAUGAUCGGGAACGAGAUCGCGAACGUGACCGCCGAGGAUUUCGCGGAGUUGCCCGCGUUGCAGAUCUUGAAUUUGGCACGGAACAAGAUCGACACGGUCGAGGACGGUACGUUCGCGGCGAAUCGGGCCUUGCAGGCGAUCCGGCUCGACUCGAAUCUGUUGGAGGACGUGUCCGGCGUGUUCACAGGCUCGCCCGGCCUGCUCUGGCUGAACAUGUCCGACAACCUGAUCGUGCACUUCGAUUACGGUUUCCUGCCGGAGAAAUUGCAGUGGAUGGAUCUCCAUAAAAAUCUGAUUAUGGAUCUCGGCGUCGCGCCACAGGGGAUGAGAUUGCAGACGCUCGACGUGUCGUUCAACCGGCUAACGAGGAUCCACUCGCGGUCGAUACCGGACUCGAUCGAGCUUCUGUUCGUCAACGACAAUCUGAUACAGACCGUCGAGCCGCAGACCUUUUUCGACAAGAAGAACCUGACCAGGGUGGACCUAUACGCGAACCAGAUCGUCAAGAUGAACCUGUCGGCGUUCCAGCUGACCCAGGUGCCGGCCCACAGGCAACUGCCGGAGUUUUACAUCGGCGGGAACCCGUUCAUCUGCGACUGCACCACCGAAUGGCUGCAGAGGAUCAACUCGUUGCCGUUGAGACAGCACCCGAGGGUGAUGGACCUGGAGUCGGUCUACUGCCGGCUACCAUACGACCGGCACAAAUCGUUCAUACCGUUGCUCGAGGCGAAACCGUCCCAGUUCCUCUGCACGUACAAGGCGCACUGCUUCGCGCUCUGUCAUUGCUGCGACUUCGACGCCUGCGACUGCGAGAUGACCUGCCCGACCAACUGUACCUGCUACCACGAUCAAUCCUGGUCGGCGAACGUGGUCGACUGCUCCAACUCCGGCUACAAGACUCUGCCGGGACGAUUACCCAUGGACGCGACCGAGGUCUAUCUGGACGGCAACAACUUCGGCGAGUUGAACUCCCACUCGUUCAUCGGCCGCAAGAACCUGCAGAUCCUGUACGCGAACGACAGCAACAUCAUCGCGAUUCGCAAUCACACGUUCAGCGGCCUGAAGCGGCUGGUGGUGCUCCACCUGGAGAACAACAAGAUCAGCGUGCUGAACGGCGUCGAGCUGAUGCCGCUCGAGAACCUGAAGGAGCUCUACUUGCAGAACAAUCUGCUGGCGUACAUCGACAACGGCACGUUCGUCCCGCUGCGGCAGCUGGAGGUGCUGCGGUUGGAGAACAACCGGCUUGGCACUUUCGCCGUGUGGCAGCUCGGCCAGAACCCGUACCUGGUGGACAUCGGGCUGUCCAGCAACCCCUGGGGCUGCGAGUGCUCGUAUCUGGACCGGGUGCGCGAGUGGAUGUCCCGUAACCGGGCGAAGAUCAGCGACUGGAGGAGCGUCACCUGUUCCCUCGGCAUGCCUAUCACCCUGCCGGCGAACGGCUCGGCCAUAAAUUGCGCGGCGUUGACCGGCACGACCUCGGUGAUCGAGACGCGGCCGCUCGAGACUUAUCUGCCGCUACUGCUGGCUACCGCGGUGCUGAUAUUCGCGAUGGUGGCGCUGGUCUGCGGCGCCUUCAAGCAUCGCCGGGCCCUGAGGACAUGGGCGGCGAGCAGAUGCGGCCUGAGGGCCUGCUACAAGACGGCUGCGUUCGAGGACCAGGAGAAACCUUUCGACGCCUACAUUUCCUACUCGGCGGUGGACGAAGCGUUCGUCUCGACGAUCCUCGUGCCGAACCUCGAGACAUCGUACCGGCUGUGCCUGCACUAUCGGGACCUAGGAGCCGGCAGCAACGUCGCGGACGCGGUCACCGAGGCCGCGGACUCCUCCAGGCGCACCAUCCUCGUGCUGUCCAAGAACUUUCUGCACGGCGAGUGGGCCAGGUUCGAGUUUAAAGCAGCGCUCAGGGACGCUCUGAAAGGGAAGGGACGCUCGGUGAUCCUGCUCCUGGUGGGCGGUGUGUGCCCUCGGGAUCUCGACGCCGAUCUCAACAAGAGGAUCUCCUCGCACACCGUGCUGGUGUGGGGGGACAAGUUGUUUUGGCAGAAGUUAAGGUUCGCCAUGCCGGACGUGUCCCCCAUACCCGUUCUCGAGAGACCGCUGCCGUUGCCGCCGCCGCCGCCGCCCCCGGCGCAGCAUCAAUGGACGUAGAACAGCCAUUAUUUAGAUGUGAACUGUUGCCAGAAGUAUUAUCGAUUCGCAUUACGUAUGAAGUAAUUGGAAAUCGCAGUGGGCAAGGAUUCCCGGCUGCCGCGACGUUUCUCUCUACUUAUUAUCAAGAAGUAUUUCUUACUAUCGCAAUGUACUCCGUAACACGGUGUCCAAACUAAAGUAAACGGUUAUUCGUAUUUUUGAGAAUCGUGAUAGCUUCGUAGUGUGCAAAUGUAAUUAGGGCAAAACUAAGAGGAAGAAAAACGAAACACAUUAAAAAAAAAAAUACAAAGCAAGACAAGGUCGGCGGAAGAAAAACGGAAAAGAACGAAAAAAAAACGAAGAACGAAAGAAAUAAAAAAAAAAA